GACAGAGGGUGCAAACGUUGUUCGGAAUUACUGGGCGUAAAGAGCGUGUAGGCGGCCAGGUAGGUCUGCUGUGAAAACUCGAGGCUCAACCUCGAGACGUCGGCGGAAACCAUCUGGCUAGAGUCCGGAAGAGGAGAGUGGAAUUCCUGGUGUAGCGGUGAAAUGCGCAGAUAUCAGGAGGAACACCGGUGGCGAAGGCGGAUCUCUGGGCCUUACCUGACGCUGAGGCGCGAAAGCUAGGGGAGCGAACAGG
rnacentral:rRNA from 1 species